rnacentral:rRNA from 1 species
GAUGAACGCUGGCGGCGUGCCUAAUACAUGCAAGUCGAGCGAACGGACGAGAAGCUUGCUUCUCUGAUGUUAGCGGCGGACGGGUGAGUAACACGUGGAUAACCUACCUAUAAGACUGGGAUAACUUCGGGAAACCGGAGCUAAUACCGGAUAAUAUUUUGAACCGCAUGGUUCAAAAGUGAAAGACGGUCUUGCUGUCACUUAUAGAUGGAUCCGCGCUGCAUUAGCUAGUUGGUAAGGUAACGGCUUACCAAGGCAACGAUGCAUAGCCGACCUGAGAGGGUGAUCGGCCACACUGGAACUGAGACACGGUCCAGACUCCUACGGGAGGCAGCAGUAGGGAAUCUUACGCAAUGGGCGAAAGCCUGACGGAGCAACGCCGCGUGAGUGAUGAAGGUCUUCGGAUCGUAAAGCUCUGUUAGUAGGGAAGAACAUAUGUGUAAGUAACUGUGCACAUCUUGACGGUACCUAAUCAGAAAGCCACGGCUAACUACGUG